CGGUUACAUCUCGUUGAAACCCCGGUUCCUGUACGAUCAUCGAAGUUAAGCAACGUCAUGUCUAGUCAGUACCUCGGUAGGUGACCACUUGGGAAUACCAGGUGCUGUAA